rnacentral:tRNA from 1 species
GCGCGGGUGGUCUAGUGGUAUGACGACAUAGAAUAUGUUAAUGAACAUAUUAAACGUUAGACGCUCACACCGUGUAAAUCAGGGGUUCAAUUCCCCUCCCGCGCA